UAGUACGUGAAACCGUUCAGGGGUAAACCUGAGAAACCCGAAAGUUCGAAUGAGAAGAUUCAGUAUCCUACCAUUUGGUCGACCAUUACAUUAUAUUAUGUGAUAAUUUUUAAUUUGUAAACUUGUUUUGCAUUUUAAUAUUACACUAAUUUGUUUUGAGAUUUGGCUAUGGAGAUAUGCACUUCUUCUCUAGUAGGACGUUGCAACCCAUUGGAUGUUAAUCUAAGGUCCCUUAAUGGUAGCCUAUUUUAUAUAUAUUUCGGUAUAUGUGAUUUAGACCUGAGGUGUUUUGCCUGAUUAACUUGUUCGAUGGUAUGUCUUUAUAAUAUAGGGGUCGCCUAUAUGGCAUUUAACUUUUUUUCAAGUGUGUAUGGAUUAAAUUUUGGCUAUCAGACCUAGUCUGGUACUGAAACCAUUACCACUGUUUGAAAAUUAUGUUGUAAUUAAAUUGACCCGAAUUUAUAUAGGUUAGCAACGCUUUUGCUUUGGGUACUUUCAGGACCCGUCUUGAAACACGGGACCAAGGA
rnacentral:rRNA from 1 species